rnacentral:rRNA from 1 species
CCCUUAGAUGUUCUGGGCCGCACGCGCGCUACACUGAUGCAUUCAACGAGUUUCUUCCUGGUCCGAGAGGAAUGGGUAACCUUUUGAAAGUGCAUCGUGAUAGGGAUAGACUAUUGCAAUUAUUGGUCUUCAACGAGGAAUUCCUAGUAGACGUAGUUCAUCAGACUGCAUCGAUUACGUCCCUGCCCUUUGUACACACCGCCCGUCGCUCCUACCGAUUGAAUGCUCAGGUGAGCCAUUCGGACUUUCAUCAUGCUGGUUUCCAGUUUUGAUGAAGAAAAGUCUUGCGAACCUUAUCAUUUAGAGGAAGGAGAAGUCGUAACA